rnacentral:piRNA from 1 species
UUAUAACAACCGUGUCAAUUU